UGCAGUCGAGCGAGUCUGCCUUGAAGAUCGGAGUGCUUGCACUCUGUGAAACAAGAUACAGGCUAGCGGCGGACGGGUGAGUAACACGUGGGUAACCUGCCCAAGAGAUCGGGAUAACACCUGGAAACAGAUGCUAAUACCGGAUAACAACAGAUGAUGCCUAUCAACUGUUUAAAAGAUGGUUCUGCUAUCACUCUUGGAUGGACCUGCGGUGCAUUAGCUAGUUGGUAGGGUAACGGCCUACCAAGGCGAUGAUGCAUAGCCGAGUUGAGAGACUGAUCGGCCACAUUGGGACUGAGACACGGCCCAAACUCCUACGGGAGGCAGCAGUAGGGAAUCUUCCACAAUGGACGCAAGUCUGAUGGAGCAACGCCGCGUGAGUGAAGAAGGGUUUCGGCUCGUAAAGCUCUGUUGUUGGUGAAGAAGGACAGGGGUAGUAACUGACCUUUGUUUGACGGUAAUCAAUUAGAAAGUCACGGCUAACUACGUGCCAGCAGCCGCGGUAAUACGUAGGUGGCAAGCGUUGUCCGGAUUUAUUGGGCGUAAAGCGAGUGCAGGCGGCUCGAUAAGUCUGAUGUGAAAGCCUUCGGCUCAACCGGAGAAUUGCAUCAGAAACUGUCGAGCUUGAGUACAGAAGAGGAGAGUGGAACUCCAUGUGUAGCGGUGAAAUGCGUAGAUAUAUGGAAGAACACCGGUGGCGAAGGCGGCUCUCUGGUCUGUUACUGACGCUGAGGCUCGAAAGCAUGGGUAGCGAACAGGAUUAGAUACCCUGGUAGUCCAUGCCGUANACGAUGAGUGCUAAGUGUUGGGAGGUUUCCGCCUCUCAGUGCUGCAGCUAACGCAUUAAGCACUCCGCCUGGGGAGUACGACCGCA
rnacentral:rRNA from 1 species